GCAGGCUCACCAGCCCAUUCUAUGGAUGACUUAGCCAUCGUCGUCUGCAGGGCCAAGCCUGGGCCCAAGCCUAUCGCUCCUGGUUCUGCGCUCUUUCCAAACCCAGGAAGAGGGGCAAGAACAGCUCAGGCCUGAUAAUUUGCCUUAUCUCUUCGAGUGUCCGUUUUUUUCCAAUGGGCAUCCAAGUGGAGGUGCCCAUGAGAUGGCUGGACGCAUGGAGGCGCCCUGGAGAAGGUGGAGAGAGAGGAAGCCGGCACAGCCUGCAAAGAUGCCAGAGAAUGAGUGGCCAGAGCCCCUGAAGCCUCACAGGAGGAGGUCUUAGACAAGGCACAGCCAACAGUGCCAAUGGCAACAGAUGAAGCAGUACUCUUCCUCUCCAUCUCCUCCUCGUCCCUCAGACCAGAAGGCUCGACAUCUUUCUAAGGGAAACUUCGUGCUACUCCCACCCCACUGGGGUCCUGGUUGCCCUCCCUGGCUUCUAAAAUCACCCCCCACACCCCCAACAACCACCACAUACACCUUUCACCAGAGACUCACCCAGCGCUUCCAGAAGCUGGGGCAAAGAGGAGCACACACGACCACCUGCCUACUGAGCAGCUCACACUUCCUCCAAUGGAGCCACCACAAGGAAAUAUUGCUUGCUUGGUGCUAGACAAGUGCUGAAGAUGCUGUGAGAGGCAGAUAGAAGUCCCUGCUGUCGCGGAUCUUAAGUUCCAGGAAGAGACACAGAUAUAGAGUCGUGAACAAGUAAAGACUAAAAAUUAAAAUCAUGAUGGGGGAUGCCAUCAUGACUGGCCACUCUGAA